rnacentral:tRNA from 1 species
UCAGGGUCUGCUACAAAAGCAGUUGGGCCCAUACCCCAAAAACGGUGAUGACACCCCCUGAC